rnacentral:tRNA from 1 species
ACCUGGGUGGCUCAAUCAGCUGAGCAUCUGACUUCGGCUCAGGUCAUGAUCUCUAGUUUGUGGGUUCAAGCCCCGCGUUCAGGCU